rnacentral:tRNA from 1 species
GACUUCAUGGUGUAAUGGUCAGCACACUCGGCGCGUAUUCGAGAGGUCCGAGGUUCGAGUCCCGGCGAGGGCA